rnacentral:rRNA from 1 species
AUGAACGCUAGCGGCAGGCUUAACACAUGCAAGUCGAGGGGCAUCGCGGGUAGUGAUACUUGGCGGCGACCGGCGGAAGGGUGCGUAACGCGUGAGCAACAUGCCCGUAUCAGGGGGAUAAACCAGGGAAACUUGGUCUAAUACCCCAUAGCAAUUGGAGGAGGCAUCUUUUUCAAUUUAAAGCUUUGGUGGAUACGGAUUGGCUCGCGUGACAUUAGCUAGAUGGUAAGGUAACGGCUUACCAUGGCUACGAUGUCUAGGGGUUCUGAGAGGAAGAUCCCCCACACUGGAACUGAGACACGGUCCAGACUCCUACGGGAGGCAGCAGCGAGGAAUAUUGGACAAUGGAUGGAAAUCUGAUCCAGCCAUGCCGCGUGCAGGAAGACGGCCCUAUGGGUUGUAAACUGCUUUUGUAUGGGAGCAAUAAGGUCUAUGCGUAGACUGAUGAGAGUACCAUACGAAUAAGCAUCGGCUAACUCCGU